rnacentral:rRNA from 1 species
AGAGUUUGAUCAUGGCUCAGAUUGAACGCUGGCGGUAUGCUUAACACAUGCAAGUCGAACGGAAACGAUACUAGCUUGCUAGUAGGCGUCGAGUGGCGGACGGGUGAGUAACGCGUAGGAAUCUGCCUGAUAGUGGGGGAUAGCCCGGAGAAAUUCGGAUUAAUACCGCAUAAUCUAUUCGUAGUAAAGUGGGGGACUUUCGAGCCUCACGCUAUCAGAUGAGCCUGCGUAAGAUUAGCUAGUUGGUAGGGUAAAAGCCUACCAAGGCGACGAUCUUUAGCUGGUCUGAGAGGAUGAUCAGCCACAUCGGGACUGAGACACGGCCCGAACUCCUACGGGAGGCAGCAGUGGGGAAUAUUGGACAAUGGGGGCAACCCUGAUCCAGCAAUACCGCGUGUGUGAAGAAGGCCUGAGGGUUGUAAAGCACUUUCAAUUGUGAAGAAAAGUUAGCGGUUAAUAACCGUUAGCCUUGACGUUAACUUUAGAAGAAGCACCGGCUAACUCCGUGCCAGCAGCCGCGGUAAUACGGAGGGUGCAAGCGUUAAUCGGAAUUACUGGGCGUAAAGCGUGCGUAGGCGGUUUAUUAAGUCAGAUGUGAAAGCCCCGGGCUUAACCUGGGAACUGCAUUUGAAACUGGUAAACUAGAGUAUGGUAGAGGAAAGUGGAAUUUCUGGUGUAGCGGUGAAAUGCGUAGAUAUCAGAAGGAACAUCAAUGGCGAAGGCAGCUUUCUGGACCAAUACUGACGCUGAGGUACGAAAGCGUGGGUAGCAAACAGGAUUAGAUACCCUGGUAGUCCACGCCGUAAACGAUGAUAACUAGCCGUUGGGGGGGAUUUACCCUUUAGUGGCGAAGCUAACGCGUUAAGUUAUCCGCCUGGGGAGUACGGCCGCAAGGUUAAAACUCAAAGGAAUUGACGGGGACCCGCACAAGCGGUGGAGCAUGUGGUUUAAUUCGAUGCAACGCGAAGAACCUUACCUGGUCUUGACAUCCUGCGAACUUUCUAGAAAUAGAUUGGUGCCUUCGGGAACGCAGUGACAGGUGCUGCAUGGCUGUCGUCAGCUCGUGUCGUGAGAUGUUGGGUUAAGUCCCGUAACGAGCGCAACCCCUAUCCUUAUUUGCCAGCACGUCAUGGUGGGAACUAUAAGGAGACUGCCGGUGAUAAACCGGAGGAAGGCGGGGACGACGUCAAGUCAUCAUGGCCCUUACGACCAGGGCUACACACGUGCUACAAUGGGAAGGACAAAGAGCCGCGAAGCCGCGAGGUGUAGCUAAUCUCAUAAACCUUUUCGUAGUCCGGAUUGGAGUCUGCAACUCGACUCCAUGAAGUCGGAAUCGCUAGUAAUCGUAGAUCAGAAUGCUACGGUGAAUACGUUCCCGGGUCUUGUACACACCGCCCGUCAUACCAUGGGAGUGGGUUGCACCAGAAGUGGCUAGUCUAACUUAGUGAGGACGGUCACCACGGUGUGAUUCAUGACUGGGGUAAAGUCGUAACAAGGUA